UACGAAGGGGGCUAGCGUUGUCCGGAGUUACUGGGCGUAAAGCGCACGCAGGCGGUCUGCUAAGUUUGGAGUGACAGUUGGUGGCUUAACUGCCAAAGUGCUUCGAAAACUGACAGACUUGAGGGCUUCAGAGGGACACGGAAUUCCGGGUGGAGUGGUGAAAUGCGUAGAUAUCAGGAGGAACACCUGUGGUGUAGACAGCUUACUGGACCACUUCUGACGCUGAGACACGAAAGCGUGGGUAGCAAACAGG
rnacentral:rRNA from 1 species